rnacentral:rRNA from 1 species
UACGUAGGGGGCGAGCGUUGUCCGGAUUUAUUGGGCGUAAAGCGCGCGCAGGCGGUCCUUUAAGUCUGAUGUGAAAGCCCACGGCUCAACCGUGGAGGGUCAUUGGAAACUGGGGGACUUGAGUACAGAAGAGAAGAGUGGAAUUCCACGUGUAGCGGUGAAAUGCGUAGAGAUGAGGAGGAACACCAGUGGCGAAGGCGACUCUUUGGUCUGUAACUGACGCUGAGGCGCGAAAGCGUGGGGAGCAAACAGG